GAUGAACGCUAGCGGCAGGCUUAAUACAUGCAAGUCGAGGGGCAGCGCGGGUAGCAAUACCUGGCGGCGACCGGCAAACGGGUGCGGAACACGUACGCAACCUUCCUUUAAGCGGGGAAUAGCCCAGAGAAAUUUGGAUUAAUACCCCAUAUCAUAGUUAAGAAGCAUUUCUUGAUUAUUAAAGAUUUAUCACUUGAAGAUGGGCGUGCGGCUGAUUAGGUAGUUGGCAGGGUAACGGCCACCAAGCCUACGAUCAGUAGCUGAUGUGAGAGCAUUAUCAGCCACACGGGCACUGAGACACGGGCCCGACUCCUACGGGAGGC
rnacentral:rRNA from 1 species